CCUUAGUAACGGCGAGUGAAGCGGCAACAGCUCAAAUUUGAAAGCUGGCCCUUUUAGGGUCCGCGUUGUAAUUUGUAGAGGAUGAUUCGGCGAGGGCUCCCGCCUAAGUCCCCUGGAACGGGGCGUCAUAGAGGGUGAGAAUCCCGUAUGCGGUGGGUUGCCUUAGCCAUGUGAAUCUCCUUCGACGAGUCGAGUUGUUUGGGAAUGCAGCUCUAAAUUGGAGGUAAAUUUCUUCUAAAGCUAAAUACUGGCCAGAGACCGAUAGCGCACAAGUAGAGUGAUCGAAAGAUGAAAAGCACUUUGGAAAGAGAGUUAAAAAGCACGUGAAAUUGUUGAAAGGGAAGCGCUUGCAACCAGACUUGUCCGCAGUUGCUCAACCGGUCUCCUGACCGGUGUACUCUUCUGCGGCCAGGCCAGCAUCAGUUCGGGCGGUCGGAUAAAGACCUUGGGAAUGUAGCUCCUCUCGGGGAGUGUUAUAGCCCAAGGUGGAAUGCGGCCAGCCUGGACUGAGGAACUCGCUUCGGCAAGGAUGCUGGCGUAAUGGUUGUAAGCGGCCCGUCUUGAAACACGGACCAAGGAGUCUAACAUCUAUGCGAGU
rnacentral:rRNA from 2 species